GUGUCAGCCGCCGCGGUAAUACGAAGGGGGCUAGCGUUGUUCGGAAUCACUGGGCGUAAAGCGCACGUAGGCGGAUUGUUAAGUCAGGGGUGAAAUCCCGAGGCUCAACCUCGGAACUGCCUUUGAUACUGGCGAUCUAGAGUCCGGGAGAGGUGAGUGGAACUGCGAGUGUAGAGGUGAAAUUCGUAGAUAUUCGCAAGAACACCAGUGGCGAAGGCGGCUCACUUGCCCGGAACUGACGCUGAGGUGCGAAA
rnacentral:rRNA from 1 species